CCCGAUAGCUCAGUCGGUAGAGCGACGGACUGUUAAUCCGCAGGUCCCUGGUUCGAGCCCAGGUCGGG
rnacentral:tRNA from 7 species